AUGCACUCCACAGUUGAUGGGGAAACUGAGGCACAGUCAUGUCUCGCUCUUACGGUGCGCCCCGGCUGUGCACCACGGGCCCCCAAGCAUUCACCCACCCGGCUGAGCUGCGCCCCACAGAGACGGGAGCUCUGGACCCUCCUCCGGCUCCCCCACAUUGAAUCCCUCCCAUCCUUGUCCUCUCCGCAGGCUACCUGCAGGCCUGCCGGGCCCUGAUGAUCACGGCCCUGCUGCUCGGCUGCCUGGCCGCCCUCUGCGGCGUGGUGGGGAUGAAAUGCACCAAGGUGGCGGAUGGGAACCCCGAGGCCAAGGGCAAGAUGGCAGCUGCUGGGGGCUGUAUGUUCAUCCUGGCGGGGCUGUGCGGGAUGGUGGCGCUCUCCUGGUACGCCUUUAACAUCACCCGGGACUUCUUCGACCCCCUCUUCCCCGGCACCAAGUACGAGAUCGGCCCGGCCCUGUACCUGGGCUGGAGCGGGUCCCUGCUGGCCAUCGUCGGGGGGGGCUGCCUGCUGGGCUCCUGUUGUGCCCACUCCUCGCGGGACAAGAGCUUCAGCUACCCCUACAGGGCGCCCAGGGCCGGCCCCCAGCGCCCACACAGAGGCUCGGACGCCAGCAGCGUCGGCAACUACGGCAAGAACGCCUACGUUUAGGUGUGGGGACCGGGGGGUGGGGGACCCAUUGCAAUCCCCCCCCGAUCCCCACUCCCACCCUGCACCGGACUCGGCGGCCGGCGUCACCGCGUUCCCACCCCCUGCGGCCCUGGAAUGGGGGCAGGAUUGUUCGACAACCCGCGAGGCCAGAAGACGCCGGUUGAUGACCCCACCCCGGCAGGUGAGACGCGCCCCAGGGCUGCAGCAGAAGGCAAAAAACCAACCCUACACAAUGUCCCUGCUAAUCCGACUUGGGGGGGCGGGAAAGUCCUUCCUGACCCCCAAUCCGGGGAUCGGUUGGACCCGGACCAUGGGAGCAGCCAGGCCAUUGGAAAGAGGGGUCCCUGGCCCCACACUGCCGGCGUCUCAUCUCCAGUCGUGGCCGAGCCCUGAUGCAUCAGAGAAAGCUGGAAAAAAUAACCACCGAGACGCACCCGGUGAGAGGCAGAGGGGGGCGGAAAUCUUCCUGACCCUACAGACAAGCGGGCGAAGCCCUGAAGCAUGAGAGUGGAUCUGAGCAUCCCCGUGUGAACAGGAAUUUUUCAAUGAGAUUUUUUUUUCCCCAUGGGAAAAGGCCGAGCCACAGAAAACAAAACUGUUCGGGGGAAGGGG
rnacentral:lncRNA from 1 species